UACGAAGGGUGCGAGCGUUAUUCGGAAUCAUUGGGCGUAAAGGGUGCGUAGACGGUGUAUUAAGUCUGUUGUUAAAUUCUCUGGCCUAACCGGAGACUCGCAGUGGAAACUAGUAUGCUAGAGGGUGGAAGAGAGAAGUGGAAUUCUCGGAGUAGCGGUAAAAUGCGUAGAUCUCGAGAGGAACACCAAUGGCGAAGGCAGCUUCUUGGUCCAUACCUGACGUUGAGGCACGAAAGCGUGGGGAGCAAACAGG
rnacentral:rRNA from 1 species